ACCCUGCUGAUGAGUCACAAAUAGGACGAAACGCGUGUCCUGGAU
rfam:Schistosoma haematobium scaffold1252_6, whole genome shotgun sequence.